UCAUCAUCAUCAUGAGCGUAAACAUCUCAUUAAUGGAUAAUCAUCAUCAUCCCGAUGAUUAGGGAUCAGAUCCCUGCUCAGAUCCCUAAUCUCCGUCUGCAACGGAUUGUUACUCCUCUCAAACCCUAAUUCCCUCCGCGACGAGAAAGCGGGCGAAAAUCCCAAAGCCGCCCAGGGUUUCCAGAGAGCUGGCCCUUGCUUUCAAUCCCAAUUCCGAUACCCGCUCCUUCAAGAUCGUAUCUUUCCCGUUGCCGGGGGAUGAUCCCGUGCGCCGCCGUGGCUCCGACGAGGUCGACGUCUUCUCGUCGGAUACCGGCAGCUAGAGCACUGUCGGUGGAAUCGCCGGCCUCAGUGAGGCUGGAACAUUCUUUUAUUCACCAACAAACACUUCCGGCAGAUUACGAGCAUAUCAAUAACAUAUAUGCAUGGUAAUUAAGAUCAUGGCCGUCCUUUACAAAUUCCAUCAUGGCAGAUGCUCAUUGUGCAACAAAUUUUCAGCACCAGGUUCAUCAUGGGCUCAUUGUGCAACAAAGGUAAUUUCCGGAUUAUAACAUUUUAGCCUAUUUUUAAAAGUAGUUGUGGAGGCUGAAGAUCAAAUCAUGUGAUAACAAUGUUAGUUUCUUUUCAGCUAUAUUGGAUAACGUGUUUGUCAAAAUAUUUGCAAUGUCUUAUUAAUGCUGUUUAUAAGUAACUGAUUCAUAGUCUUGUGCCUUCCAACACAAGUUAAAACUUAUUUUAGUAGAUCUCAAAUAUAGUAUCAUACUACUUGAAAUAGAAAUUUUAUACUUUUAACUUAAAACAGGAAGAAAACAAUCUCAUAGGAUUUGAUAUUUCUAUACUAGGUA